rnacentral:rRNA from 1 species
AUUGAACGCUGGCGGCAGGCCUAACACAUGCAAGUCGAGCGGAUGAAGGGAGCUUGCUCCUGGAUUCCGCGGCGGACGGGUGAGUAAUGCCUAGGAAUCUGCCUGGUAGUGGGGGAUAACGUCCGGAAACGGGCGCUAAUACCGCAUACGUCCUGAGGGAGCAAGUGGGGGAGCUUCGGACCUCACGCUCUCAGAUGAGCCUAGGUCGGAUUAGCUAGUUGGUGGGGUAAAGGCCUUCCAAGGCGACGAUCCGUAACUGGACUGAGAGGAUGAUCAGUCACACUGGAGCUGAGACGCGGUCCAGACUCCUACGGGAGGCAGCAGUGGGGAAUAUUGGGCAAUGGGCGAAAGCCUGAUCCAGCCAUGCCGCGUGUGUGAAGAAGGUCUUCGGAUUGUAAAGCACUUUAAGUUGGGAGGAAGGGCAGUAAGUUAAUACCUUGCUGUUUUGACGGUACCAGCAGAAUAAGCACCGGCUAACUUCGUG